GUGCUGCAACAUGGCCUCCUCCUCCUUCCCCUCGCGUCCCGCGGCACGGGGCGGUAGGGACCAGGUAUUUCCUAAAAGGAGUGUUGGAAUCCUUUCAGAGUCUGCGGGGAGUCUGGAGUCCCAGCACUGAGGUUUCUGCAUGUAAUGCAUCAAUAUUACUUGUAAUGCUUGGUUUAACCUUGAGUUUUGGCUGCUUAUAGUGUAAGAUAUUGCUCAAGGAAGUACUAAGCGGUCCAUCUGCAAAGUGAUCCUGCAGUUAACGCUGAAUGCCGUAAGUUUUUUGUUAAAUUAAGCUUGUGGGUUUCUACAUGUAUUAGGGGCAACCUGGCUUUUGGGCUGGCCUGCUUUCUCCAUGCUCUUAGUCCUGUAGUUAGGCUUUGGAAUUGCUUGGCUGUUUGGGUUUGGAUGGU
rnacentral:lncRNA from 1 species